rnacentral:rRNA from 1 species
GUGGGGAAUAUUGGACAAUGGGCGCAAGCCUGAUCCAGCCAUACCGCGUGGGUGAAGAAGGCCUUCGGGUUGUAAAGCCCUUUUGUUGGGAAAGAAAUCCUGUCGGUUAAUACCUGGCGGGGAUGACGGUACCCAAAGAAUAAGCACCGGCUAACUUCGUGCCAGCAGCCGCGGUAAUACGAAGGGUGCAAGCGUUACUCGGAAUUACUGGGCGUAAAGCGUGCGUAGGUGGUGGUUUAAGUCCGUUGUGAAAGCCCUGGGCUCAACUUGGGAAUUGCAGUGGACACUGGAUCACUAGAGUGUGGUAGAGGGAUGCGGAAUUUCUGAUGUAGCAGUGAAAUGCGUAGAGAUCAGAAGGAACAUCCGUGGCGAAGGCGGCAUCCUGGGCCAACACUGACACUGAGGCACGAAAGCGUGGGGAGCAAACAGGAUUAGAAACCCGUGUAGUCC